rnacentral:rRNA from 1 species
UACGUAGGGUGCAAGCGUUAAUCGGAAUUACUGGGCGUAAAGCGUGCGCAGGCGGUUAUGUAAGACAGAUGUGAAAUGCCCGGGCUUAACCUGGGAACUGCAUUUGUGACUGCAUGGCUAGAGUUUGGCAGAGGGGGUAGAAUUCCACGUGUAGCAGUGAAAUGCGUAGAUAUGUGGAGGAACACCGAUGGCGAAGGCAGCCCCCUGGGUCAAGACUGACGCUCAUGGCACGAAAGGCGUGGGAGCAAACAGGA